GACGAACGCUGGCGGCGUGCCUAAUACAUGCAAGUAGAACGCUGAAGAGAGGAGCUUGCUCUUCUUGGAUGAGUUGCGAACGGGUGAGUAACGCGUAGGUAACCUGCCUUGUAGCGGGGGAUAACUAUUGGAAACGAUAGCUAAUACCGCAUAACAAUGGAUGACACAUGUCAUUUAUUUGAAAGGGGCAAUUGCUCCACUACAAGAUGGACCUGCGUUGUAUUAGCUAGUAGGUGAGGUAAUGGCUCACCUAGGCGACGAUACAUAGCCGACCUGAGAGGGUGAUCGGCCACACUGGGACCGAGACACGGCCCAGACUCCUACGGGAGGCAGCAGUAGGGAAUCUUCGGCAAUGGGGGCAACCCUGACCGAGCAACGCCGCGUGAGUGAAGAAGGGUUUCGGAUCGUAAAGCUCUGUUGUAAGUCAAGAACGGGUGUGAGAGUGGAAAGUUCACACUGUGACGGUAGCUUACCAGAAAGGGACGGCUAACUACGUG
rnacentral:rRNA from 1 species